rnacentral:rRNA from 1 species
GACGAACGCUGGCGGCGUGCUUAACACAUGCAAGUCGAACGGAAAGGCCUCUUUCGGGGGGUACUCGAGUGGCGAACGGGUGAGUAACACGUGAGUAACCUGCCCUUGACUUUGGGAUAACUUCAGGAAACUGGGGCUAAUACCGGAUAGGAGCUCCUGCUGCAUGGUGGGGGUUGGAAAGUUUCGGCGGUUGGGGAUGGACUCGCGGCUUAUCAGCUUGUUGGUGGGGUAGUGGCUUACCAAGGCUUUGACGGGUAGCCGGCCUGAGAGGGUGACCGGCCACAUUGGGACUGAGAUACGGCCCAGACUCCUACGGGAGGCAGCAGUGGGGAAUAUUGCACAAUGGGUGGAGGCCUGAUGCAGCAACGCCGUGUGCGGGAUGACGGCCUUCGGGUUGUAAACCGCUUUCGCUCAUGACGAAGCUUUGUGUGACGGUAGUGGGUAAAGAAGCACCGGCUAACUGCGUG